UACGUAGGGGGCUAGCGUUGUCCGGAAUCAUUGGGCGUAAAGCGCGUGUAGGCGGCCCGGUAAGUCCGCUGUGAAAGUCGGGGGCUCAACCCUGGGAUGCCGGUGGAUACUGUCGGGCUCGAGUCCGGAAGAGGAGUGUGGAAUUCCUGGUGUAGCGGUGAAAUGCGCAGAUAUCAGGAGGAACACCAGUGGCGAAGGCGGCUCACUGGUCCGGUAGCUGACGCUGAGGUGCGAAAGCGUGGGGAGCAAACAGG
rnacentral:rRNA from 1 species